rnacentral:rRNA from 1 species
AGCGAACGCUGGCGGCAGGCCUAACACAUGCAAGUCGAACGAACUCUUCGGAGUUAGUGGCGGACGGGUGAGUAACACGUGGGAACGUGCCUUUAGGUUCGGAAUAACUCAGGGAAACUUGUGCUAAUACCGAAUGUGCCCUUCGGGGGAAAGAUUUAUCGCCUUUAGAGCGGCCCGCGUCUGAUUAGCUAGUUGGUGAGGUAAAGGCUCACCAAGGCGACGAUCAGUAGCUGGUCUGAGAGGAUGAUCAGCCACAUUGGGACUGAGACACGGCCCAAACUCCUACGGGAGGCAGCAGUGGGGAAUCUUGCGCAAUGGGCGAAAGCCUAACGCAGCCAUGCCGCGUGAAUGAUGAAGGUCUUAGGAUUGUAAAAUUCUCUCACCGGGGACGAUAAUGACGGUACCCGGAGAAGAAGCCCCGGCUAACUUCGUG